CGAGUUUGAUCAUGGCUCAGGACGAACGCUGGCGGCGUGCCUAAUACAUGCAAGUCGAGCGGACCAAAGGGAGCUUGCUCCUGGAGGUUAGCGGCGAACGGGUGAGUAACACGUGGGCAACCUGCCUGUAAGACUGGGAUAACAUCGAGAAAUCGGUGCUAAUACCGGAUAAUAAAAAGAACUGCAUGGUUCUUUUUUGAAAGAUGGUUUCGGCUAUCACUUACAGAUGGGCCCGCGGCGCAUUAGCUAGUUGGUGAGGUAACGGCUCACCAAGGCAACGAUGCGUAGCCGACCUGAGAGGGUGAUCGGCCACACUGGGACUGAGACACGGCCCAGACUCCUACGGGAGGCAGCAGUAGGGAAUCUUCCGCAAUGGACGAAAGUCUGACGGAGCAACGCCGCGUGAGUGAUGAAGGUUUUCGGAUCGUAAACUCUGUUGUUAGGGAAGAACAAGUGCCGUUCGAAAGGGCGGCACCUCGACGGUACCUAACGAGAAAGCCACGGCUAACUACGUG
rnacentral:rRNA from 1 species